AAAGAUUAAGCCAUGCAUGUCUAAGUAUAGCAUUAUACCGCGAAACUGCGAAUGGCUCAUUAUAUAAGUUAUCGUUUAUUUGAUAGUACCUUACUACUUGGAUAACCGUGGUAAUUCUAGAGCUAAUACAUGCUAAAAAUCCCGACUUCGGAAGGGAUGUAUUUAUUAGAUUAAAAACCAAUGCCCUUCGGGGCUCACUGGUGAUUCAUGAUAACUCCUCGAAUCGCAUGGCCUUGUGCCGGCGAUGGUUCAUUCAAAUUUCUUCCCUAUCAACUUUCGAUGUUUGGGUAUUGGCCAAACAUGGUUG
rnacentral:rRNA from 1 species